ACUCCCCCAUCCCUCUUCCAUGCGCCGCCGCCCUAUUGCCCGGAACCGGAAGCAUCUCUUGCUCAGGUUCCUGGGGAUCGCGACGACGGCCUUCGCUGCGGCCUCGCCUUGCUGCCUCUGCCGCGCAGCCUGUCCGGGCGCUGCCUUUGAUCCGCGCCGCCCGGACAGCCGGAUGACCGUGCCGACUGCCGAACCCGCGAUGACCUCCAGGCUGACCUCCCCGCUGCCAUCAGCACCCGCGAUGACCGUGCCGACUGCCGAAUCGGCACUCCCGGCCGCCUUCCUCUGCGUCCCGUCCCCGCUCCACUGGACGCCCUUCCCAGGCGCCGCCGUCUCCGAUUCGCCCGGGCCCUCCCCUCACCAUGCUUCCUUCAUACUGCGCCCACCGUGUCCGCCUCGGGCCCUGCGUCUUCUGCCGUGUCGCGCCUCCACCGGAUGUGGGACGAGUUCGCGCGGCUUGUGCGCCUACACGGAAACCAAAUCGCUCUUCGGAUUCGCGUCCCUCGGGUCGGGCUUCUGCGGGGGCGGAGCAGAUGUGGAUGGGGUAGGUGAGGUGGAGAAGGCUGCGACACGAGCCGAGGCACCCAAGAAGGUGCUGAUCCUGAUAAGCAACACAGGCGGCGUGCACCGAGCGUCCGCCGAGGCCAUCAAGCCCGCCUUCUUCUAGACAUUCAGCGACGACUACCAGGUUCGGUUUCGCUGCCCUUUCUGUGAUAAAAUACCAAAAUAGGGAGGUGGACCACGCAGGGCCUUGCUCGACUACCUUAGGUUCGUCCAUCUGGCUGCGGCGAGGUCUGCAAUUCUGUCCCUUGCUAUCCACAAGUGCUUCAUCAAUGGAGGAUGCGUACCAAGUGUUUGAUGAUUCACCCAUGCAAAACUAACAUGUGAUUUUGUCCAUGGAGGUGCACGCCAUAUGUUUGAUGGUUUUCCCCUGCAACACUGACCAAUAAACCAUGCCCAGAUUUCUGCAGAGAUAAGAAUAAAAGUGCUACAUAAGCUUGUGACAAGAGGAGUCCUACUUGAUGGAAACAAGAAGAUGCAUUCAGGCUAGUUGCCUUGCCUAAGGAUCACCACCACCAGCUGUAGCUAAGGAUGGUUUGUCACACCCUCACAGGUUGUGUGGCUCAUCCUCAAGAAUUUAGUCCACUAAACUACAUAUACAAGGUACGUUAUCAAUCGACACAAUUCUUACAUACCUUCUUUUUUAUAUGUGUUGGUGCAAAUAAAGGCAUUCAAAUGGUCAUGCUGAUGCAAUGACAAGGGACAAGAAAAUUCCUACAUGGCUCAAUUUGAGUUUAAACUUGCAAUAUCAGAAGACAAAUCAGCAACUCCUUCAUCUACAAAUGAGGUCACCGAAGAGGACACUUCUAGCAUUACUUCAGUACCAAGCACAACACCAACAUCGACUAUAGCAGAAGCUUUCUGAGCACACUGGAACCGGCAAGAUCGCAGGGACUUCAGAGUCAGGUUCAUCAGCACCAAAAAAAAAUUGUUAGGUUGUACCAUCUUUCUAGCAAUAUGUAACCAUGUAUUUCAAUUAAUUACAUUUGUAUUACACCAAAAAAAAUUUAGCAUUCGCUGCUACAAUGCCUGUAUCAAACAUAUACAUAUUAUUAUUUACCAAUCUUGAAAGAAGCAAAGCCUACAAAGGGGUAUCUGCAAAGCAGGGCACACUACUUCCAAUAUAGUGCAAUAAAGGAUUUACUCCCAGUCUUCAUUAGAAACAAGACCAAAGAAAAACCAUGCCGCUGCUUAGAGCACUAAGUCAGAAUGAAAAUAGGUUAUGAACAGCACAGCCAUACCAGGGACUUCACAUUCAGCACCGCCUAUCCCUUCCUUAGGUGUGAGAAUGGAGUAUUUCUGUUUGAAUAGAAUCCAAUAAAAUCAUAAUUGAUCUCGGAUAAAUAACUCCUAAAGAGUCAUUUAUGUUAAGGUCAGUAUUGUGACGGGGGUAAAUAUCUGUUUGUGAAGAGAUCAUGUUGACACUAUGAUAUGCUAAAGAAUGGAGAGGUAUCAGACCAAGAGGUUUGUAUUGACCCCGGCUCUCUAGUAAAGUCUCAAGUGAUAUGCCAGAAAAUAUGAAAGACAGUAGCGCUUGUGUUCUAAUAUGUAGUUAUGUAUUAUACAGGAGAAAUAAUUGUGUUGUACCAUACUAACAUUUCCAAUUGUCACGUUGACGCUAAA